GGCGGCAGGCUUAACACAUGCAAGUCGAGCGGUAGCACAGGGGAGCUUGCUCCCUGGGUGACGAGCGGCGGACGGGUGAGUAAUGUCUGGGAAACUGCCUGAUGGAGGGGGAUAACUACUGGAAACGGUAGCUAAUACCGCAUAACGUCUCAAGACCAAAGAGGGGGACCUUCGGGCCUCUUGCCAUCAGAUGUGCCCAGAUGGGAUUAGCUAGUAGGUGGGGUAAUGGCUCACCUAGGCGACGAUCCCUAGCUGGUCUGAGAGGAUGACCAGCCACACUGGAACUGAGACACGGUCCAGACUCCUACGGGAGGCAGCAGUGGGGAAUAUUGCACAAUGGGCGCAAGCCUGAUGCAGCCAUGCCGCGUGUGUGAAGAAGGCCUUCGGGUUGUAAAGCACUUUCAGCGAGGAGGAAGGUGGUGAGCUUAAUACGUUCAUCAAUUGACGUUACUCGCAGAAGAAGCACCGGCUAACUCCGUGCCAGCAGCCGCGGUAAUACGGAGGGUGCAAGCGUUAAUCGGAAUUACUGGGCGUAAAGCGCACGCAGGCGGUUUGUUAAGUCAGAUGUGAAAUCCCCGGGCUCAACCUGGGAACUGCAUUUGAAACUGGCAAGCUAGAGUCUCGUAGAGGGGGGUAGAAUUCCAGGUGUAGCGGUGAAAUGCGUAGAGAUCUGGAGGAAUACCGGUGGCGAAGGCGGCCCCCUGGACGAAGACUGACGCUCAGGUGCGAAAGCGUGGGGAGCAAACAGGAUUAGAUACCGUGGUAGUCCACGCUGUAAACGAUGUGGAUUUGGAGGUUGUGCCCUUGAGGCGUGGCUUCUGGAGCUAACGCGUUAAAUCGACCGCCUGGGGAGUACGGCCGCAAGG
rnacentral:rRNA from 1 species